AUGAAAGAAAAAAAAAGGAACCCUAGACAUCUUCUCGUUCCUCGCCCUUAUUUCUUCAGCCGCCAGCCCCACCCCUAUCUUUUUCUCCUUCUCCGGUGUUCUACCGGCGGCACACGGUGGCUGCGACUUCGAGUCCACGGCAGCAGUAGCAACUUCGACGUCCUCUCGGAAUCCAAGACCCACGAGCAUCCAAGACCGUUGGGAGCCCCUAUCGACCCCGGCGAGAAACCGAGCAGCCGCACCUUCCUCGACCAGAUCUGCAGCGGCGAACGGCGGUGCAGCAUCUAAGGACGACGCGACGGCGUGUGGUCUGGUGAUCCAGCAGCGGCACAUCUUGGUUUCUUCGACGAUAGCAACACCGGCGGCGCCUCAGCGAUUUUUACAGCGAUCCGGUAGUCUCGAUCCGGCGGCGGCGCAGAACGGGUAACCUGCAGUAGCGGUGGCUCGUGCCCAGAUCUGGCCGGCGCGCUCCCUCUGGUGAACUAUCCCGGUGGACCCUCCACGAACUAAAUCCAACGUCUUUCUUCCUUUCCCGACGAUUUCUGCAGCGUUUUCAGCAAUCCACGAACAUCGGCAACCUUGGAUCCAUGUUGGUAGUGCAGCGAUGUGUCGAACAGCAACAUCCCAAUAUGUUUUGCAAAUCCUAGCACUGAUUUCUUCCUUCCACGUCGACCCACACCCAAACGAAGGACGAUUUGAGUUACCCGCCCCCUCCAACAUUUAUUCGACGUUGACCCACUCCUAUAAUUUUCUCUUUUACUCUGCCAACAAUACUUAUUGCUCAUGAGUUUACGAUGCUCUGCCAGUACAUAAAUUUCAGGUUCGAAUCCCUUAUCCCAAUUCUUAUGAUAUGAACGUAUAUUGUAUUGUUUAUGAAUCAAUUUACAUCAAGAUAUAAUUGCAAAGUAACAAAAUAUAACAGCCUUGGAUUUCAACAUUUUCUUGACUAAUUUGGACCUUGGGAGUUUCCUCAAUGACCUAUAUUCAUUAUUCAAUAACUUAUAAGGACUAUGCAUAGGUUUCCUCAAUCUAUAGACAAACUUAUAAUCAAAGUUUCUUAUCUAUUUUCUGAUUAAAUGAAUGGAUGACAAUCCAUGAAGUUGCAGAUACCUCAUGAUAGAUCACUUAUAAUAGGCAUCUCCAUUUGUUCUGUACUCAAGUCUCUUAAAUCGUUCAUUGUCGGUGAAGAGAACGCUUCUACAUUUUUUUUUUAAUUUGAUCUUGAACUUUGAUAUUUCAUAUUGUCUAGAGGACUCCUCGUGGCAGGUGUGAAAAAAUGGUAGAUGUAACAGAAGAUUCAAUUGAUGCAAGUGGUCUUCAAGUGAUGAGAUCGCUAAGCUUAAUCAAACGAAUUGAGGGAGACUGAAGAACGGUUGGAUAGUACCGAAGCCGAACCGAAGAAGUUUUAGCCAACAAUCUACGAGAGUUCAUUAACUUCAAAAACUAAUUUGAAAGUUUCUUGAGUCAAUUCUCAGGCGGAUCAUGCCCUGUUUAUCUGGAUAGGCAUAAAACCUCUAGUUAGGUUUUUGUAGCUUUGGAAAGAUUUCGAACCUAUAAAUUCAAUAACUUUUGAAACAUUUGAACCUGGAUUAUAUUUUGGUAUUUGACAUUUUGGUAUUUGACCUUCAAAUGAGGUCUCUCAAGAAUGUCGGGAUUGAAAUUAACCCAUUUUAUUUUAUAAAAAUUAAAUAAAUAUUGGCAGAAUAGUAGAUCUGUCGACGCUUUUCAAAACGUUGGCAUAAUAGUAGAUCUGCCAACGCUUUUCAAAACGUCAGCAGAUAUACUAUUCUACCGACGUUUUGAAAAGUGUCGGCAGAUAGAAACUUUUGCCAACAUUUUGAAAAACGUUGGCUGAUGGAAACUUCUGCCAACGUUUUCAUAACUUCGACAACUCAACCAAGAUUUCUCUAAAAUGUUGGCAAAAGUUUCUAUUUGCCAACAUUUCUUUAAAACGUUCGUAGAUCUGCCGACGUUUAGGAAACGUUGGUAGAAAGUCAGCUCUACCAACGUUUUUUGAACGUUGGCAAAAGUAUUGUUCUGCCAACAUUUUUUAAAAAACGUUGGCAAUGUGAUUUUCCAACGCACUUCUGGCGGCUUUUUUGCUGACGAAUAUUUAUCAUUGGGAGAAACUACUCCCAAUGUUUUUUUGGUCUUGUCCCAACGUUUUAUAGCGUUGGGAAAAAUUAAAAUUCUUGUAGUGAAAGGAGAGAGAAGUUUCCUCUGUAGAAAAAAAAAACUUUCAAAACGGAUUCUCCUGCCCUGGUAUCGAAAAUAAAGUGGUACCAUUGAUGGUUUUGGUGGUAAUGUUUCCCUAAAAUAUUUUUUGAGAUGUGAGUCGAUAUACAUCAGUGUCAUCACAAACCAUAUUUCUCGACUUUUGAAGAUCCAUGCUUAGUAUUGGGAUUACAAUUACAAGCCUUUGUGUAUAGCAUACGCUAGUUGGAUCAUUCUUUGCAUGGAGGAUUUUCUUUUAUUAUUUUCUUUUCUUUUCUUAAAUUCUGCUGUUGACAGGUACUCGAUAUGGGGCCAAUCUAUGAAAGGAGAUUAAGAAGAACGAAGUCAGUCAGAACAGAAAAUACCAAUACUUCUGUGAGUUCUGUGGAAAG